UACGUAGGUGACAAGCGUUGUCCGGAUUUACUGGGCGUAAAGAGCGCGCAGGCGGUCGUACAAGUCGCGUGUGAAAGCCCCCGGCUCAACUGGGGAGGGUCACGCGAUACUGUUCGACUCGAAGGCAGGAGAGGGAAGCGGAAUUCCCGGUGUAGUGGUGAAAUGCGUAGAUAUCGGGAGGAACACCAGUGGCGAAGGCGGCUUCCUGGCCUGUUCUUGACGCUGAGGCGCGAAAGCUAGGGUAGCAAACGGG
rnacentral:rRNA from 1 species